rnacentral:tRNA from 1 species
UGGGGUAUCGUCUAAUUGGCAGGACAGCGGGUUCUGGUCCCGUAAGUCAAGGUUCGAGUCCUUGUACCCCAA